CGUGAGGAACUAUCAACAAAAAAUAUUUCUUCCAUUCUCGAUUAACGAUGAUCUAUUUACAGCGUGAAACGACGGCCAUGUAAUGGAAUUUGGUACAGGUGACAACCAACGCGAGUGCAAGCAUUACUAAAGUAGUAAUUGGAGUCGUAAUUGGAGUUGGCAUCUGGGAGAUGGUUGAAACUGUCGUGGAUUUCAUUUGCAUUAAUUAAGUAAUCGAAGUAUUUGACCUCCUUCCAGUUGGAUCGGCUCUUCUUCAGUCGUGAAUGAUACGGAAUGGUUUAUUAUACUGGAGACACGUUCGUCAACAAGUUUGGUUCAGUGCAGUGACCCAAUCGGUCUUAAAAAUCGUCGGGAAAACCGAGUAGUGUGCAGUAAACAUUCAGUUCAG